rnacentral:rRNA from 1 species
CGCACGGGUGAGUAACACGUAUGCAACCUGCCUGCCACAGCCGGAUAAUCGGGAGAAAUUCCGUCUAAUACGGCAUAAUGCAUCGACGGGACAUCCUGUUGGUGCCAAAGGUUAAUUCCGGUGGCGGAUGGGCAUGCGUCGCAUUAGUUAGUUGGCGGUGUAACGGACCACCAAGACGACGAUGCGUAGGGGUUCUGAGAGGAAGGUCCCCCACACUGUACUGAGACACGGACCAGACUCCUACGGAAGGCAGCAG